CCUUACGGCCAUACCACCCUGAACACACCCGAUCUCGUCUGAUCUCGGAAGCUAAGCAGGGUCGGGCCUUGUCAGGACUUGGAUGGGAGACCGCCUGGGAAUACCAGGUGCUGUAAGCU
rnacentral:rRNA from 1 species